CUACGGGUCGCUGCAGUGAGGAAUAUUGCACAAUGGGGGGAACCCUGAUGCAGCAACGCCGCGUGGAGGAUGACGCAUUUCGGUGUGUAAACUCCUUUUAUAUGUCAAGAAAAUGACGGUAGCAUAUGAAUAAGCACCGGCUAACUCCGGUGCCAGCAGCCGCGGUAAUACGGAGGGUGCAAGCGUUACUCGGAAUCACUGGGCGUAAAGGACGCGUAGGCGGGUUGGAAAGUCAGGUGUGAAAUCCUACAGCUUAACUGUAGAACUGCACUUGAAACUUCUAAUCUAGAGUAUGGGAGGGGGAGAUGGAAUUAGUGGUGUAGGGGUAAUAUCCGUAGAUAUCACUAGGAAUACCUAAAGCGAAGGCGAUCUCCUGGAACAUUACUGACGCUAAGGCGUGAAAGCGUGGGGAGCAAACAGGAUUAGAUACCCUUGUAGUC
rnacentral:rRNA from 1 species